AUUACAAAAGUCGUGGUGCUUUUAGGUUACUUACAAAAUAAUACUUUAAACCUUUUUCAAUUCAAGACUUCUCUAUUUAAGCAGAAAUUGGAAAUUCAGCAAUCAGAAUUGUUUCUAUUUUGACAAAAAUCACGAUUCCGUAAAAAAAAAAAAAACUCAAAUAUAAGAUGAGCCAUGGCUCAGAACCUCUCCUUGCGGAUUCUAAUGUUUUGCAUAUUUGCUCUUCUCUUUCCUGAAUCUUCGUCUCAGAAUCAGAGGAGAGAGCGGAACGAUGACCAGCGAUCAAACGGGACUCCUCCACCGACCACUCAACAUCCGUGCAGUGCGGAAAACAUCCAGUGCGGAGUACCUCAAAAGUUUUGCAACAUGUUUGGAUGUGAUUGUACGCCGAAGCCAGGAGCCAGGUGCUGCGAUGGCUAUCGCUACGAUAAGACGUCGAACAAAUGCAGGCAGAUAGUGUAAACGGUGAAAACUUUUGCUUCCAACAACAAACAAACAUGCAACAAACACACCUUGGGAACUGAUAUUAAACUAAACAUUUGGGUUCUUUCUAUGCUUACACGGUUUUAUUAUAUCGUACAAUUUAAGAUUGUGUUUUGUUACUUUUUGCAGUCGUCUGCAUUAAGAUAAUUGUCUAAUUUUAAAAGGCAGUUUCUGAUGAAAAUUCACAAUUUCUUAUCGUUUUAUUUUAAAACCCAUCCUAUCUGUUUCUAUUUUAAUUCUACAAUAAAUAGAAACCGAGAUAUGGGAUGUUUUAUAAAUCACUGUAGCUGAAACCGAAACCGAAAGUAGUUGAAUGUUUCCCAACAUUUUUUCAAAUAUAUGCCUCUCUGAGUUAUAAUUUAUUUUAUUAUAUAUUCUAUCAACAAGCUACGUGUAUUAGAAUACGUUUUGAGAAUUUUUUGUGCCGAAAGUAUUUGUAAUUACUUCUGCUUUUGAACAUUAUUUAUGUUUAUAUUUCCUUUUUAGUGCAAGACAAAUAAAAACUUUAAAUGAUUUUUUUUGGAAAACUUGGAUUUCGUAAAAAGUUACAUACUUAAAAUAUGAUAUCUUAAAAACUUAUUACCUUGAAAUUUUGAAUAUAUGUUACCUUUAGAGAGGCAAAGGCAAUGAACUAGAAAUAUAACUUUGAAUUGAGUAGUUUUUAUUUUAGAGCUGCAUAUGUAAUUUUUAACAACGAAUUUGGGGAAAUUUUCAAUACAGAAAUACUCAAAUAUCUAUUAUUUUAUUUUAUUUUUUGAAAACGUGCAUAUUUCUUAGUUUCAAGUUAAUUCCCUUCACCAUAACUGUAAGUAUGCUGUGUAUAAAAAUAAUUGGAAUAUGUGCUAUAGAAUUUUUUGUAGAGUGUUUUGUUUUUUGUUGCAAUUUUAUUAUUAUUUUUUUUACCUAAGUUGACACAUUUUACAGAAUCUCAAUUGGCGCAGAAUUUCCCGAUCAAUAUUUUUCAUUAUUUGCAAUCACAUUGAUCCAGAAAAUGAACUGAAAUAGCUCAUUAGAGGGAUUUUUUAAGAAUUUGUCUUUAUAGGUAGACAGAUACCUUAACUUUGUCCAAAAUGUUGUCAUAUUUUAUAUUAAAUAACGGAUGACGUAGUUGCAAAAACGAUUAUUCAUUCUAUUGAAAAUUGAUCAAAACAUAUUCUUAGAAAUAGCCUUUAAAAUUAUCAUGAAAUAUACAUAAAAAAUGUAGGUGAAGCGUAUUUGAGUAAGCUGCCAAGAGUGAAAAUUAAUUAUUAAAUUUGCCCUUUUUGCUGGAAAUUAUUACUCGAUUCAGAAAAAAUUAAGGAAUUUGAAGCAAUUAUAAAAUAGAAUUAUUAGAACCAGAAGUUUUCAGCAAGUUGAAGUGUUGAUUUUGGUCCUUUGAAGAGUUUUCAACCUUUUAAAUGCUUAAUUGUUUUGAUCUAAUAUUUUUAAGAUCUCAUUAAAGAUUCUUAUUGCACUGUCAUCAAAACACUCCUGGCUUCUGAGACCAUAUUGGUAAAGAUGAUAAGUUGGAUAUUUUGUAAGUUCUUUGUUUCAAAACAGAAAAUCUAAAAUCAACCCUGAAAAUACAAAUUCCAAAAUGGAAAAAAAAAUCGGAAAAACGUUCCCCAUUAUAUCUUUGAGAACUGCUGUGCGAGUUCCUAUUGCUGACGUCGACAAGGUGAAGGAGGUACCGGCAGUUAUGAUGAGCGUGACAGGGCGGUUCCUACUAACUUGGAACUUCUGAAGGAGUUUUAAAACAGAUAUAUGAGAGAUCACAAUUCGUUUUAUGCCUUAGGAACUUACUUAGAAUUGAAGAUAUUCUUGACCUUCAAAUUCCUCUACGGUCAGUUACAAUUACUCAGUUCAGUAAAAACGACCAAAGAUUCGUCAGGUGUGUGGGUAAAACAAAGUGACGAAAUAUGAAAUGUCUUUGCAUGAACAAAGUGAAGAGUAAUUUCAAACGUCAUUCAAACUUACAAAGUUAAAAUAACGUAGAGACAAACUUUUGAUGUACGAUUUCCAUUGUUCUCUGUGCCGUUUCCUGCGCUACCCAAACAAUGCUUUUCCCUGACAUUUACGCACUUUUAUACAACGAAAAGUAAAUAAAACGCCAUUCGCAGAUGAAGAUUGGGAUGAUCACUGCUUUGUAUAACGAGAUUCAACGCUACAUAAUAACCAAAUGAAAGCAAGAAGUACCCGCUGAAUUGGAAAAUGGAUACUUCUAGAAACACUUUUGUCGUCUUUAUUCUGUUUCAGUUAGUUCCCUAUUUUCUUGCAGGAGUUUGUGGCAGACCCAUCAAUUCAACGACUCAAGCAAUCAGUUCAUUUUCCAGUCAAAAUGCAAGGCCCGAUAACACUAAAGUCCAAGCUCAAUUCGGAGUGACACAGAAAUUUUGCAACAUGUUUGGUUGUGACUGCACCCCUCCCAAGGGAGCGAUAUGCUGCGAGGGAUACAGUUUCGAUCGGCAUUCAAGAAAAUGUAGACAAAUGUUGUAAAAAGUUGCAUGGUUUACAAUUCUUUGGAUAUUAAAAGAAAGAUGU